CUACACAGAGAAAAUGAUACAGGUGAUGAAGUAUAUACAAACAAUACCGCCAUUCUAACCACCUAACUACAUGGAAGGGACAUUGGUGAUACGGUGGACUUCUUCGACCGAAAAAAGCUUUGGGUUUGACCAGCGUGAAGAAAAACUAGAAGACCCAGCGUUGAAGUAAGGCGGGAACAUCUGUAUGGAUGCAUUUAUGUAUGUAUGUAUAUAGUAUUUGUAAAACAUCUGUAUUUUGUUUAUUAAAUUUUGUAACUUAUUUAU